rnacentral:lncRNA from 1 species
UCCUUCUCAACUUCUUGAUGGUAAGACUCCUUUUGAAAAGCUGUAUGGGAGAAUUCCAUCAUUUAAUCAUCUUCGGGUCUUUGGGUGUCUUGCCUAUGCUCAUAACAUUAAUCACAAAGGAGAUAAAUUUGCGGCAAGAAGUCGAAAGUGUAUAUUUCUUGGAUAUCCAGUAGGAAAGAAAGGCUGGUUACUGCUUGAUUCAAAAACGCAGAGUAUCUUUACGUCGCGGGACGUUGUUUUCUGUGAAGAUAUCUUCCCAUUGGCUGCGUCUUCUGACAAAUCUGACAAUCAUGAGCCAGCGUCUGAACUACAAGAGGCUACUCUCGAUGACACUGACUCUGAUAGUGGUACAUCCGACGAUGUGCAACCUGAAACAGAGGAAGGUGUACUGGAUACUGCACCUGCAGCUGAGAAUAUACCGAUGGCUCCUGCGGAGGUUCCCGAGGAGAUUCUUCCGACUGUUGAAAUAAAUACACCGGCUACUGAGGUUGAUGAGGUUUUAGGAAGAGGACAUCGUCCAAAAAUUCCUUCCACUCGCUUGCGAGAUUUCGUCGUUAAUACGGUUACUCUUGACUCUUCUCUCUCUCUCUCCACUACUUCACCAUCUCCUCAGUCGUCUUCAGGUUCGGUCUAUCCUAUCUCUGAUUAUCUCUUUAGUCAUAAAUUUUCUGACCAACAUCGCAGCUUCCUGGUGGCGAUAUCAUCUCAUCAUAUUCCUAAAUCGUUUAAAGAAGCAAUUCUUGACAAGAUAUGGAAGGAUUCUAUGGGUACUGAAGUUACAGCUUUGGAGAGCCAGCAUACGUGGGAUGUGGUGCCAUUGCCACCUGGUAAGAAACCACUUGAUAACAAAUGGAUAUAUACAAUUAAGUAUCGAUCGGACGGAAGUAUUGAACGACCAAAGUCGAGAUUAGUUGUCUGUGGUAAUCGCCAGAAACAUGGAGUUGACUAUACAGACACAUUUUCACCAGUUGCGAAGAUGACUACGGUGAGAGUAUUUCUGGAUUAUGCGUGUAAGUUGGGUCAUGAGGUUCAUCAGAUGGAUGUUCACAAUGCGUUUCUUCAUGGGGAUCUUCACGAGGAAGUAUACAUGAAAAUUCCUCAAGGUUUUUCUUCUCCAGAUAAGAAUCUGGUAUGUAGACUUCGCAAAUCUUUAUAUGGCUUGAAGCAGGCGCCUCGUUAUUGGUUUGCCAAGUUAACAGAUGCUCUUCUCAAGUAUGGGUUUACUCAAACCAAGUCUGAUUAUUCCUUGUUUGUUUACUUUAAGCAAGGAGUGUCCAUUCGCAUCCUGGCUUAUGUGGAUGACCUGAUUAUAUCAGGAAGUACUCCGAAGGAUAUCAAACUCAUAAAAGACUAUAUCUCGACUUGCUUUCACAUGAAGGAUCUUGGUCUUCUCAAAUACUUUCUGGGUAUAGAGGUUGCUCGAAGCCCGUCUGGUUUCUACUUAUGUCAGCGUAAGUACGCUACUGAUAUUGUCACUGAAGUCGGAUUGCUUGGUUGUAAACCGGCUGGAGCCCCUAUGGAUCAAAAUCAUCAACUUAGUCGAGCUGAUGGUCCUACAAUUUCUGAGCCAGAACGGUAUCGGAGACUUGUUGGCCGGUUUAUUUAUCUUGCUGCGACAAGACCAGACUUAACGUAUGCUGUACACAUUCUUUCACAAUUUAUGCAAGAUCCUAAAGAAGAUCAUUGGACUGCUGCAUUGAAGGUGGUACGAUACUUGAAGGGAACUUUGGGUCAAGGUAUUUUUCUGGAUGCGAAGUCAUCUCUCCACUUGACUGGCUGGUGUGAUUCUGAUUGGGGAGGAUGUCACACUACUCGGCGCUCUCUGUCUGGUUGGAUAGUUCAGCUCGGAACCUCUCCCAUCGCGUGGAAAAGCAAGAAACAAGACACUGUAUCUUGCUCAUCGGCAGAGGCCGAAUACCGUGCUAUGGGAGCCAUCACUAAGGAGUUGUUAGGAUUAAAGUCUUUACUUCGGGAACUUGGAGUGAAUCACAAGGAACCGAUGACACUGUUUUGUGAUAGUCAACCAGCAAUUCAUAUUAGUUCAAAUCCGGUGUUUCAUGAAAGGACUAAGAAUAUAGAGAUUGAGUGUCAUUUCAUACGAGAUGAAAUCGUCAAGGGUGUUCUAAAACCAUCAUAUGUCUCUACUAAAGAGCAGUUAGCGGACAUCUUUACGAAAGCAUUGGGACGCAAAGAGUUCGACAUUUUCUUGUCCAAGCUGGGCAUUCGUAACUUACAUGCUCCACCUUGAGGGGGGGUAUUACGAGAGAUACUACAUAGAUUUGUGUAUAUCUAUAUUUCCUAUUCUAGUUAUUAACAUUAUUGAUACUAGGUUUAGGAGAUCUUAUGAUGGUUGUAUAAAUACUUGGCUGCGGCCACAUUAAUAGACAAGUUAACAUUCAUCGAUUCAUAAACUUGUCAAAUUGACAAAAGGGGAAAGGAACAAUGGGGAAAAAAUGGGGGUGGGUGGGAAGACAGGGAAAUCACUAUCAACAAAAGGAGAAGCAGAGAAAAGAUUUGUGGGGGCAACGGACGAAUGCAUUACAGUGUGCCUUUGAGACUGACAUUUUUGGCAACUCAUGCGUGAAGAUGUUUCUUCUUUGACCAUGAUUUUACAUAUGUAUCUAUAUGUUUAGGGUUCUCGUUUUUUGAGUGUAUCAAAGUAACGUUUUCAAACCAAGUGGUGAUCCACAUAUAGUAAGAUGGUUGUCUAUUGAUCGAAGACAAAACUCGAGACACUGAUUAGAACAUGGUUAAUAGCUUUAUAUGUGAUUUUUCAUGUACAUAUUGGAAACCAGAACUAUUAGGUAACUAUUUCAACAGUUGAGUAGUAGUGUGGUGUUGCGGUAUCAUACAACAUGGAAAUUUACUGAUGAACUAACGAAAAAAAAAUGAUAUUAAAUGUUUAUUUCAUUUUCUAGUUGUUGUUUUUUCUUUCAUAAAAACAAGCAACUUGGGCAUUCGAUUUAACAAACAUAGAGACACUUAGAUUUGUGGCGAAGUUAAUUUGUUAUAUAGUGGUUUUUUUAUUAGUAUCAUCACUGCAAUGUUAUUGUAUGAGAUAUAGACGAAAAAAGUGUAAUCCAGCAUUUGUAAAAUUAUGCAAUACACAAAAUAACAACCUUUUGUUGUCUCCGUUUUUUUUUUAAAUAGCGAUUUUUUAGUAUUAUGAAGUUUUAUUAAAUUAAUUGACAAAAAAUUAAAACAAUGUCCAUGUACAGUGAAAGAGAGUUUAAUAUACAUUAAUACAAAUGUAGAAUGUGUUUAGAGAUUUUAAAACAACACUAAAGAUCAUAGGCUUCAGUAUAUAAAGCAUUUACUGAAAAAUUUAAUAUUUUCGUAGGGUUAACACAUAGCUUUUGAGAAAAUUCCAAAAAUACGAAAAAUACUGUUUUAAUGCAUAGUUGCAUCAUUCACUAAAAUAUGAUGAAUGUCAAAAAGGUUUGAAACCUUUGUUGUCUUUGUUUUUCUAGAGAAUAACUAUUUUGUAGUGGUUAGUCCACCAAUUUAGAGAGUAUUAUGAAGUUUUACUAAAUUAAUUGACAAAAAAUUAAAAUGAUGCCCAUGUACCAUGAAAAAGAGUUUAAUAUACAUUAAUACAAAUGUAGAAUGUUUUUAGAAAUUUUAAAACAACACAGAUCAUAUGCUUCAGUAUAUAUAGCAUUUACCGAAAAUUUAAUAUUUUCGUACGCGUUAACACAUAGAUUUUGAGAAAAUUCAAAAAUAUGAAAAUACAGUUUUAAUGCAUAGUUUCAUCCUUCACUAAAAUAUGAUGAAUGUGAAAGAUGUUUGGAACCUUUGUUGUCUCCAUUUUUUCUUGAGAAUAGCGAUUUUGUAGUGGUUAGUCCACCAAUUUAGGGAGUACUAUGAAGUUUUACUAAAUUAAUUGACAAAAAAUAAAAUGAUGCCCACCAUGAAAGAGAUUUUUAUAUAUAUUAAUACAAAUGUAGAAUUAUUUUAGAAAUUUUAAAACAACACUAGAGAUCAUAAUUUUCAGUAUACAAAGCAUUUACCAAAAAACUCAAUAUUUUCGUAUGGGUUAUAACUCAUAGAUUUUGAGAAAAAUUCAAAAAUAUGAAAAUAUUGUUUUAAUGCAUAGUUUCAUCCUUCACUAAGUUAUGAUGAAGGUCAACGAAUUUUGGAACUUUUGUUGUCUCCGUUUCUCUAGAAAAUAGCGAUUUAUAGUGGUUACUCCACCAAUUUAGGGAGUAUUAUGAAGUUUUACUAAAUUAAUUGAAAACAAAUUAAAAUGAUGCCCAUGUACCAUGAAAGAGAGUUUAAUAUAAAUUAAUACAAAUGUAGAAUAUGUUUAGAAAUUUUAAAACAACACUAAAGAUCAUAGGCUUCUGUAUAUAGAGCAUUUACUGAAAAUUUUAAUAUUUUCGUAGGGGUUAUAACACAUAGAUUUUGAGAACAAUUCAAAAAAAUAUGAAAAUAUUAAUUUAAUGCAUAAUUGCAUCUUUCACUAAAAUAUGAUGAAUGUGAAAGUGGUUUGGAACCUUUGUUGUCUCCGUUUUUCUAGAGAAUAGCCAAUUUUUAGAGGUUCGAAAACACUACUAGUCUUUUCUAGUGUUUAUUCUAAAAUACGAUAAAUAUAUUUGAAUACCUACAUAGGAUAUAUCAAACUUGCAAAAUUGGUCUUCCGCUUGUCCAGAAAGUUAGUGGAUUAGCUAGGCGGGUUAUGUAUUAUUAUAAUAUUCAUUAUACUAAACGUGAUCCAUCCUAAUUCUGACUCGUUGACAAAUCAACCUGACUUUAUAACACAAUACCCAUUUAUAUAUUUGUUACGAACAACAUGCGGAUUCCACAUCCGUUGGUCCGACGAAUGUAGACACACAUUAUCUGCCAAUUAUAUAUACAUGGUAUAUACAUGUGUAUUUAAGACUAUAAAAAUGUGAACAUACAAGUACAACACACUAUUACCUACAUGCAUGAUUAACAAACGAUAUGAAAACCUAAGAACACCGCACAGUCAUUAAAAUUACAAUUAAAUAACCCGAAGGGUCUAAACUCUACAAUCCUCUUUACACAGUGAUUAUUGCAAAGCUACAAUAUCAUGAAUUUAUUAAUAAUUACUCCUUAGGAAGAGAAAAUAGUUAUUUCAUAUGAAUAGAAAAGUGAGAGAUAAUCCAAAAAUGUGAGAAAGAGAGGGGAAAAAGAAAGCAAAGUUUGAAACGGGCCCCAUGACAUGUCCUCUAACGUCAACAUUAUCCUCCAUUAUUACUAUUACUUUCACCCUCUCAUCAAACUCACUCAAACCUUUCGUUCUUCUUAUAUUACCUAAAUCACCAGAUCCAUGUAUAAAAUAUAAAAGACCCCUGAAACCUCAACAACAUCUCUCUAUCUCUACAAUCAACAAGAUCGUACCAUGUCAUCUCCUAGAGAUAGAGGAAAGAGCUCGAUGGAAUCAUCAGGAUCAGAGCCACCGGUGACACCAAGCCGUUACGAGUCACAGAAGAGACGCGACUGGAACACUUUCGGACAGUACUUGAGGAACCAAAGACCGCCACUGCCAAUGUCUCACUGCAACUGCAACCACGUGCUUGAUUUCCUCAGGUACUUAGACCAGUUCGGUAAGACAAAAGUGCACGUGCCUGGCUGUAUGUUCUACGGUCAGCCUGAGCCACCAGCUCCUUGCACAUGUCCUCUCAGACAAGCUUGGGGAAGUCUCGACGCUUUGAUCGGACGGCUGAGAGCGGCUUACGAGGAGAACGGUGGAUCUCCGGAAACAAACCCUUUCGCUAGUGGAGCAAUAAGGGUUUAUCUCAGGGAGGUUAGGGAGUGUCAGGCCAAAGCUAGAGGGAUUCCUUUCAAAAAGAAGAAGAAGAAGCCAACGACGACGGAGAUGGGUGGUGGAAGAGAGGACUCUUCUUCUUCAUCCGCCUCUCCCUUCGGCUUCUCUUAAGAUUCUCAUGAUCUUGGUGAGACCUUGUGGUAAUACAUUUCUCCAUUAACUAUGCUUUUGUUUGAUUGAAUAUAUGCAUUUGCAUUCAAUUAAAUAUAUGCAUUUAACUUUGUGUCUUGAUCUCUUUACUAGAGACUUAUGAAUCUGUGGUUUCAUUAACUAGCUACAUACCGCAAAUAUAUAUGUUUAUAUCGUAGAAUGCUCCAUGUAUCAAAACCCUAAGUGGAGAAAUAGUUAGGCUUUUGAUUUUUGAGAAAAUCUUGAUUAGAUAUAUAUAUAUAUAUUGUAUUGAUGUUGGGUUCAGAUCAGGGGACCGGAUCGUGAUUAGAUUAUAGUUUUGAAUGGAAGCAGCUAGAUUUUUUUUAAUGAUCAAUCAUUUUAGUUUUGGAAUGGUAAUUAAAUACAUGAAAACAAGUUUUCAAGUUUCUAGCAUAUCAAAUAUUGAAUGGAUGAUAUAUUGAGUUUUCUAGUUCCAGAAACGAAAAACUAUUCUCUAAACCUUGUAAAUGCAUCAUAUAUUUUUUUACUCUAUAUGUGUUUGGAAUUUGAAGAUUCUCUAAGUUAUCCUAGAGAAUUACUCACUUCAAAUUUUGGAAAAAAACAUUUGAUUCUCCAAAGAUGGAUUGUUUCGUCAUCAACCCCACAUACACAUAUGUAGAGAGAGAUACAAUGUUUUACCACUGUUGUUUAUAUAAACAGUAGUUCAAGGAAGUAAUGAUUGGCUCUUACAAUGCAUUCUUUUAAAAGAUUUGUGAAGAUUUUGUUCCCCUUGGAUAUCAAGGGAGAAAUUGAUUGAAUCUUCUUUUCCCCCUCAUUUUAUAACCUAAAGAAAUCGAUUAAUAAUUAAGAGUUCAUGAUUGUUCUUAAAGGUUAAUAAAGGUUAUCUCAGAAUAGAAGUUAAUACACAUAUAAUACUUUCUUGAUCAUGCUUUAAUUAUUGCUAUGUGUGUCUUAGGGUAAUUAUCUCAACAUGAACAACCCAAUUAUAUCUUAACAUUUUCAGUUUAACCGAAUGCUAAUCAGUAAUCACAAUUCAACCAAUUGUAAAUAAGAUCUCAGAUUUUAGAGCUUCAACUAUGAGAUAUCAACUAGAGCUUUUAUAAAGGCUGUUAAACUGCACAAACAUUAGAGUACCUAGUUAUGCAUUGGUAUUUUCUGAGAUAUAAUAUAGUAUUAGAUUUUGUGGGACAGUAAGUUCUCACUGAAUCAACGCAAAUCAUUAUUUAUUUUCUUUAAUAUCAGAUAUACUUUCAUCAUAGCUAUAAAUAUAAAAUUCAUAUUUAUGAUCUUUGUCACCACUAUACUUUGGAAAAGCCUGAAAGUUUGUUUUGUCCCUCGCAAAGCUUUAUAGACUUUGUUCGAUGAUGCAAUAUAACAUAUGUGAUACGUCACACAAAACUUAAGUUCAUAUAUCUUGAAUUGACAUAGCAGUAUGAGUUUAUAUUUAGGUUAAUUUUCAUUUAUACGGCACAAAUAUGUCACAUGAUCUGGUAUCUAGCUAAACGCAUAUUAAAUGUGUUUUUAACAAUUAGUUGAUGCUGAAACAACAUAGAUAUUUGCAGGAUCAACAGUCUCAUAGAAGGAUCAAAUGUAAAAGAGGCCUCAAAUAUACCUACUGGCGAUCAAGAAGUCAAAGUAAAAUGUUAUUUUCAGCAUAAUUUCGGCUUAUUUUAACCGAUCUUCAUCUACUCCUACAUUUCCGUAGCAAUCGACCGGUUAUAUAGCUUCAUCAUCUCUAUAUUCUCUUAUUAAACUCUUUUUAUAUAAGGAAGUGUAUAGAUUUUAUAUACUUAAGACAAGUUUGUUUUAAAAAGAGUUUCUUAAAUUUGUUAUUUUGAAUAGAGGACUAAUAUUUGAUUUGAAUGUGUAUAAGUAGCUUAGAUCCCCAUGCUAAGAUAAAUUAAAUUUUCUACAAACCUUUUGUUAAUAGUACUCACAUUUAAGCCAAUAGGACUCAAUAGCAUUGCUCAUAUAAAGAAACAAAUUUAGUUUUUAAUACAUGCAAACCUCAAAUAUGAUACGAAGAAGUUAAGAUGAAUAAAUCGACUAAUAUUAUUGUGAUUUAAGUUUAAAUCAAAGGAAAGCGAAUAUUAAUACAAACUAUACAAAAAAUUUAUAUUCUAAAAGACAAUUCAGCUGUCACUGUGGGGACGUUGAUAGAGGUCUUCUUAGCUUUACCAUGUCUUGAGGGGCUUGUCCUUGACGUAGGGAAGAACGUGAAGCAGAGUGGUGUAGCUUUAGAGGCAUUGAACUCGAAAGAAGUAUUGAUAGGUUUGUUAUACUUUGAAUGUUUUGCUUAUAAAAGCGAUGAUCAAAGAUGAUGUAUACAAUUUGCAUGUGAUGAAAUGAAGUGUUAGUCUAAACUCAGUUAAGAUAUCACAUAUUCAGAGAAGAUAAUUUUCUUAGGUUUCUUAGAUAGGUCAGUAUAUGUCUGUCUAAAUUAGUAUUUUGACUGUCUUGCAAUCAUGGUUUUGAUUCAUUGUUUAGGUCUUUUGCUGUUGUUCAUUUUUUUUGCCACCACAGGAUAGAGAUGUUAACCAGAGGAGUCUUUCGCUUCCUGGUGAAGGUUUGUUACAAAAAUGCUUAACUCUGAGGAAGCUUUUCAUACAUUGGAACGGCUCAUGAGCAUUUCAUGAAUUUUUGAGGAUCCCUAACUUAAGGGACAUGUAGCUUAGAGAAGACUGUUAUCCAGCGCCUGAGAAUGAUAUGAGCACAGAGAUAUGAGUUGGUUCUUGUAGUAGAUUCUAGGACCAUUUGAACAGCCGAAACAUCAUUGAUUGAGACUAACAUUGAGUUACUUCCACACCAUUUUUACAUAUGUAUUGACUUCAGUUUCUGUUUACUCUGAAUGUUAUGUUUGUAAAAGAAAAGAUCAAAGAUGAUGUAUACAAUUUGCAAUGAUGAAUGAAUUCAUAAAUGGAAAAAACCAGUACAUUAUAACUAGAUGAAGAUAUCACAGAUUCAAUGAAGAGAAUCCUCACAGAUCGCUAGAUAGGUCAGUAAUCUGUGGAUAGUUCCGUAUUUGCUAUAGUUCUUCACACUGAUAAGUCCCACUAAUAGAAUCACCAAGUGUUAUCUAAAAACAUGUGCUUUGAUAUCAAAUUAAAGUCUAUUCAAAGUAAAUAAAUUUUGUUAAAGAACAAACUAAAAACACAUUGUUAAGAAAAGUUCUCAUAGACCCUUGAGGUUGAAGAUUAUACCUCCAAAACCACCAGGAUGCAAGCUCGUUCCUGUUCAGUAGAGUGUGUCAGUAUUAGUCUAUGUUGCUUGAUUGAUAUGGUGUAGAUCAACUUAAUUAGACAUUUAUACAAGUUGUAAGGAUUUAAUUUGUCAAAAUGUAUUAUAUGGCCACAAACACAUUUUAGAAUUAAAAAAGUAAAAAAUGUAGUUAUUCAGUUAAAAAUAUUAUUUUUUAUUUUUUUAGAAUCUCACCUAGUUUCUAAUGGUUGGAGAUGCUUUUAAUAGACCACUUAAAUUAUUUUUAUUAAUUAAAUUAUUAAAUUGGGUUUAUUUUCCAAAUAACAAAAAAUGGAAAUUAGAUUCUAUAGAGAGGAUAAAAAGAGACAAGAAGAGAAGUAAGAGAGAACGAGUAGUUUUGAGUAGUUAGAACAUUUUCAACUCCACUUCAAAAUUUACAGUAAAAUGGAGUGGAUUAUGCAGUUGUGAACAAAAAAAAAUGUUACUGCAUUUAUGGGGUAAUGCAUUUUUUGUUUGUUCACAACUGCAUAAUCCAUAAUCCACUCCUAGUGAAUUUGUGUUUUUUUUUUUGUUAUUAGGGCCAAUUUCCUUUAUUAAAUUAUACUAAAAUACUAUUUUUAUUUGUUUAGAACCCCAUUUAAGAUAUUGGAGCGAUGGGGGUGAUUGCUUCUGAUCUAUGAGAGCUUUGUUUUUUUUGUUCCUUCUUUAGAAUCUCUAAUUAAUUUUUUUUAUAAUGUAAAUCUUUUACAGCAAAAUGGAAGUAAGUUUCAAAACUGUAUAACCACUCCGACUGCAACCAAAUGAAGCGGAGAAAGGAGACAAAUAACGCUUGCGGUGGGACCACAACCACUGUAAACGUUGUCCCAGAGAGCACCCACCAUGAUGGACCCAGCUGUUUGGCCAAUUUCUCCAGCGUUAUAGAAAUACUUCCCUUCUCAAUAAAAAACAAUCACUUCUUUUUUUUGCUUAAAGGAAGCUAUUAUUUAUAAGUCGCAAAUAAUCACUUCUUGGUUCUUCCCUUUUCCGCUUAAAAAAACAUAUCAUGUCCUGUCUUAACCACAACCCAUUACAAUAUCCGUUUCUCUUUUAACAUUUAGACCCAAAAAAAAAAAAUUAUCCGUUUUACUUUGUAACAACAACAAAAAUGGUUCUAGUAAUAAACGUCAAACUCUCCUAAAUAUGAAUAUUCCAAGACAUCUGGAAAUAACAAAAGAGGAAGAAAAAAGAGAUAUAAAAAUGACAUGGACUUGAUUAUUCCAAGACGAAUGUGAAAGCUGAAAUUGAAUAAUGUAUAGAGUAGUAUUUUUGUAGCAUAUUUAAUGUAAACUGAUAUACAUAAAUAAAUAGGUACACUAGAAAUGGGGUAAGUGUCAGUUCGAUAGAUGGUGAAAUGCCAAAGACACCCGAUUUUGUUGUUGUAAAUCUCAAUCCCAAGAAACCAAACACCCUCUUCGUCCCCUCCUUGGAAACAUGUUAUCUACGUCUCUUUUCUUUGCUUAUUAGUACAUCUUUUAAAACAUUCACAAAUCCCUUAUAAGCCACCAAAUAAUUGCCUCUAAUUUUGUUAAUUCAUUUUCAACGCUUUCUCAGCGACAUCUCUUAAAACAUUCACAAAUGUUAAUUCAUUUCCUCAAUCCACCAAAUAAUUGCCUCUAGUUUUGCUACUACUAAAAAAAAGGAAUCAAGUCUCCAAUUCAUUAAAGUUAGAGCAACUCCAUUGGUGAACCUCUUAAGAGAGGUUCUUAGCAAUUUUUAUUUUUUUUUAAUUAAUUUUGUAAAGUUAAGGAUUUCCAAUUUUUUGGGUGUCUAUUGGUGAACUCCAAAGUGAGGUUCUUAGGAAUAAAUUAAUAUUAUUUAAUUUAUGAAAAAAAAAGUUAUGUUUAUUGAAAAAAAUAUAAAACAUACAAUAAUUAUGAUUGUUGGUUACCAAAUUUUGCAAAUAUAUUCUCAAUUAAAUCGGUCUUCAAUCGUUGAUGUUUCCUUUGGUCGCGAAGUUCACUCCGAAUGGCAAGUAUAUUACCGAGAUUUGAAGGCAUGUUUGUAGAGAACGAGAAAUCUACCUCUGAACUUUUGCUUGUUUCUCCUUCUACGAAUUCAGAUAUAUCGUAUCGAAUGUAUCCAUCUCGUUCUUCUUCCACUAUCAUAUUGUGUAAUAUGAUACAUGCUCUGAUAAUGUUGCUGAUUUUUUCAAUCGCGUCGAAUAACUAUUUUUUUUCUUCUCUCAACGAAACUAGGGGAAAAGUAGUUGCCACGUACUUUAGAGCUCACCCCUUAAAAUUGUUAUUUAAGAGGCACCUCUAACCAUCUCACUUAAUUAUAUUAUUUAUUAAAUCAAAAGUGGGUAAGAGGCUUGCUUAUGAACUCCUUAUAAACCAGCGAUGGAGAUGAUCUUAGAUAUUGUUUCUUUUACUUUUGCUUGUAUUUUUUAUAAGGAGUGGGGACCUACAAAAGUGCCACGUGGACACCAUGCCUGAUAGAUAUGCAUGUAGAUCUUAUGAGCAAGUAGUAGAUUAGAUCCUGCAUUGUACGAACCACUUCACUAUCUCUUACUAGAGUAUUAGAGUAUCUAUUUGAUCACGAUCGAUCUCAUCCAUCAUCGAUGUAUCUAUACAUAUCAUCAUCGGUGUAUGCAUGUAGAGAGGGGCACAUGGGAAUGGGACAUUGAAAGAUGGAGAUUUUCAUGUGAGAGCACAUGUCAUGUGCUUCUUUCUCUCUCUCUCUAAUUUGCCUUCUCUUUGGGCUUUCUGUGUAGGUCCCCUAUUCUUCACUCCCUUGUUCUUAUGCACAUGCCGAAACGGGUCAUUCUCCUUCUUAUCCCCUCCCCCUCACCCACUGCCUUCUCGCGCGUGGUCUUUCUUCUAAUCUUAUAAUGGUCUCGUCCGUACUACCCUGCGUAGUUACUACUACUACAACUUGCUAGGAUUAGGAUUUGUCCUCGUCUGACUUACUUUCUGGACAAUUUAUAAUAGUUUUCUCGAUUCAAGUUUACAUAAUUAUAACCCUAAAAUUUUGUUAAGAGUUCAGAAAAGGUGAGAAAUAAGUUAUGGUAUACACAAAAAUGCCACUUUAUAAACUAAUACUCCAUCUUUUAUGGUUGGUAUAUGAUAAAAUGCCACUUUACUGCAACUUUACCGGUCUGUAAGCAGCAAUACAUAAUCCUAUACAAUAGAAAGUUAAUGCUUGAGGAUUUACUAGAUACAAAGUUAAUACUUCUAGCUCUAAACAAGAUACGCAGUUAUCAAACAAACAAAAUCCAAUUUAGCUGUGAACAUGAUCCACUUAAGUGAGUGACAUGGCCACUAACGUCUAAAUUUGUCGACAUGGCGCGUGAAAAACCAAGUCUCUUUUGCAAGAUCCAAAUCUAUGUAUAACCCAAGUAAGAAAAAAAAAUAACCCCCACAAUCCGAAACACGAGGAUAAUAUAUAGUACUAAAAAAAAUACAACUGGACCAGCUUUGAUGGUAACAUUUACCAUUUCUCAUUUACUAAAUAUAGAGUUCUUAAAUCGAAUUUCAGUUUUACAUCGUAUUUCUAGACCAACCAAACCGAAACUCAUUCAUAACCGAACGUUACACUAAAGUAAGAAAAAAAAGAAUGGAACAUGGAGCGUAAGAAAUUCAACCAAAAUAGUAUUAUCUCUAAACUUAACUCAUUUACUACUUUAAAAUCCAAUCGAUUCAUGGUAAACCAGAGUAAAGCGAGAUUGAACCGGCCACACUUUAUUACAGUUACCAUUUUAUCCAAUAACUCCAUCAUUACUCUUAUAUAUAUCAAACAUACACACGUACACUUUCCAUCUCUCAACAACAUCAUUCCUCUCUCUCUCUCUCUCUCUCUCUUACGAGUUACAACUUACAAUGGAGAAAACUCUAGCAACUCCUGACACUACUAGAUCUCUUUCACCGUCAUGCUCAGUGGCCGUUGAAUCACCUGCCGCUGGUUUUGAGCGCAGAACCAAACGGAGACUUUCGCAGACUAAGGCAAGCGUCUGUGUGUCCGGUGAAGAAGAUGAAGAUGAGGAAGAGGUAAAAGAGAAGAUUGAGGCGUUGCAGAGGAUUAUUCCAGGAGGAACGGCGCUUGGUGUGGACGCGCUCUUCGAAGAGACAGCUGGUUACAUAAUGUCUCUACAAUGUCAGAUCAAGACCAUUAAAGUCCUCACUUCAUUUCUCCAACGCUUAGAUAAACAAGAUAUGAAGUUCGGAGGUUGAAGAUAAUGAUGACACCCAAAGAUUGUUCUUCCUUUCGAUUAAAAAGUGUUUUUUAUUAUUUAGUUUCAUUUUAACUCUUUUAGCUUCUAUCUAUAUAUGGGAAAAGAGAUCUCAGCAUUUUUUUUCUUUGAAAUCUUUUUCUUUAUGAAGACUUAAAAUCAAAGUUCUGAUUUAUUUAAGCCGGUUCGCAGUUAUGAAAGACUACUAAUUGCGAUAUAUAUAAGAAAGUUACUAUUAAUGUAGUGUGUAUAGUUAUAUAACUUACUAACUAGAUAGUAACCCGCGUUUUGCGCGGGAUAAGAUGUCUAUAUUAAUGUUAAAAUUAUAUAUUAUGAUUAUGUAUAACAUCAGGUAUAUUUUAAGCGAUAGAACUAAAGGUAUGAUUGUUAUCAGGGAUGAAGCGAGAGACUUUUUAUAAUGGUUGUACUAAUAUUAAAAUUUGAUAUAUGGUGUUUGCAAGUUUCAGAAGAAGCUUUGAAAAAUAAUUUUUUUUUAUAUUUCGUCUAUCACGUUAUAGUAGUUACGGACUUAGGGAUUUAACAAAUAACAUAAAAGUGUUCGUUGAGAAACGUGUAGAUGGUAUGAAGUUCUUUUAAAGGAAUGUUAGUGUGAACGCAUUAAAUUCAUUAUUUUGGUGAGAAACGUUCUCUGCGUGACACCUAAACGUUUUACUAAAUAAAAGUUUCUCGUGAAGCCACGUCACCACGUCGCAAUCCUUACCAUAACUUUUAAGGUAAGUUUUAAAAAUGCUUCUCCUUUAAUAUAUAGGGGAUAUUUACUUGGAGGCCAUAUAGAUAUUAAAUUGAAUCACGAGGUAGCACUUGCAUUUGAGAUUUGACAUUAAUGAUAUUGAGCAAGUAAUGGCAUACCUCUGGCCCAAUUUUUAAUUUCGGGUGAGCUCCAUGGUCACAUGCUAUAUAACAAAGAGAACCAUUUCCAACGUCGGUAGAUAUUUGUUUAAGUUUAAGAUGAACACAUUGCAUUCGAGAUCCAUAAUACAAAUAGUCCAACUGUCAAAGGACCGAGUUCAUGUGUUAUAUUCAUUUUACACAAUACAAGACAAAUCUAUUUAUUCGUCUAAGUAGUCACUACUCACUAGAGCUACCAUCUACACACAAUUCAUAAAAUCAACCGCGUCCCUUAAAAUAAAAAAGCCGUUUAGUAGUCAUUAUUUUGAAGAAGAAAAAAACAUAUAGCUGACAUUAAAUGAAGCUGUUACAUAUAUUAAUGUAACUAUAUUCUUCAAACUCCUUAAACUCACUUACUUAAUGGAUAUUUAAAGUAACUUGUAGUAAAUCAUAUCACUCUGUUCUGUUCUGAAAUGUAAAAUAUUUAAAAUAAUUUUUAUGUUUCAAUAUAUAAGAUGUUCUCAUCUUUUUAGGUAAUUUUCAGUUUAUCAAAAACUUUGUACCCAAUCAAAUUUAAUAGUUUUAUUUUCUAAUUGGUUGAAUAGUUUUUAGUUUAUAUAAUUUUAAUGAUAUUUUUAGGUAAAAAAUAAUUUUUUUAAUAAGUGUGUACUACCCAAAACAUCUUUAGGAACAAAUGGAGUAUAAAAUCACAAAAAAUUAAGUUGUAAAUCAUUAAUGGUACAUUUUAAUCCUCUACUAAAAAGUCAUUGACGUCAUUCUCUAGUUUAUAAUCCCCAUCCUACAAGACUAGAAGGCUACGACUCCAUACGAUUUGCUUUAGCCAUGUCCUACUAUAGUUCACGGAUAUUUAAAGUAAGUUAUAAUAAUAAAUCAUACUAGUAUAAAACUACACAAAAAGUUGUAAAUCAUGAAUUUUAACUUUUAAUCAUUUACUACUAAAACUAUCAUUAAUAAGGCUACGACUUGCUUUAGCCAUGUCUUAAUGGGCGUAAUACAUAUGGGCCUGGGCCCAUAGUAGAUCACUCGAUAUUACUCAAUACUCCUCCAUUGCGCGAACAUUGUUCACAGAUCAGUGUCAAUGGCGGACGAUCGGGCUGAGAAGGAGAUGGUCAACGCUGAUCACGGAAGCGAUGAGCUGGAGAAUAAGAAGAAUCACGAAUUGAAACGGGAGAAUCUGGAAUUGAAGGAGAAGGCUGAGAGAUUGACCGGAGAAAUCGAGGAGAUGAGAGCCGUGGAGGCGGAGAUGAAGCAGAGCUUCGAAGAGAUGGAGACGGAGAUCGAGCAGUUAGAGGAAGAGAAGAAGGGGUUAGAAUCUAUAUCGGCCCGAGCCGUGGAGCUCGAGGGCGAGGUGGCGAAGAUCCACGAAGAUCUCGUCAACGCUUUGAGAGACGGAGACGAGAGGGAGGUAACGGCGGCGGAGCUGAAGAAGGAGUUGUCGGAGAAAGUUGAGAGCUUUGAGAGGUUUGAGAAGGAAGCGGAGGGUUUGAGGAAAGCGAGAGGCGAGGGUGAGAAGAAAGGGAGGGACUUGGAGAGGAAAGUUGGGGUUUUGGAAGUGAGGUUGAUGGAGGAGAGGAGCAAGAAGGUUAGAGCGGAGGAGGAGAUGAGGGAGAAGGGUAAUCAGAAAGAGGGGGAGAUCGAGGGGUUGAAGAGGAAAGUCUCUGACUUUGAGAUGGGUUUGGUGAAGGGUGUGCUGGAGAUGGAGAGUUGCGAGUUCGAGAAGAAGCGGGCGGAGGAAGCUUUGAGUGAAUUAAAGAAGAGGGAGAUGGAGUUGGAGGUGAGGAAGGAGGAGUUGUUGAAGAAGGUUGAUGAAGGUGAGAAGACGCUGCUUGUGUUGAACGAGAGGAUCAUGGAGGAGCCUACUACUAAUGGAGUCAGAGACAUAAAGGAUUGUGACCAAGAAUGUUUACAGUUGCAGUGGCCAGUGGUUGCUGCUGGUUCGGUGGGAGCUUUGGGUUUGGUAGCAGCGACAGUGUUUGUUGUAUGCUACUCAAAACGGACUUGAUUCAGUAAUAUUGAGGAGCUGAAGACCAUAACUUUUUUGCAGUUCUGCAUUCAUAUAGGUGCCCCAUAACUUUUUGGUCUCUGAGUUUGUGAUGUUUUUGUUUACUUGAUAUGUUUUGUUUGUUUGAGAUGAUUGAUGAAUCUUUGGCUUUUAGGCUAUGAAUGCAUUUGAUAUCGCUUUGUCAUCACAACUAACUGUUUCUGAAUUAUAAAGAUAGACUUGUUGCUAAUAGAUUGUUUGACAGUACAGAACAUGAACAACAUACUAUUAUAAACCAUGAUGUGAUCAUGUGAUGGUUACUAGAAUAUGUCACAUGUCUAAUUUCUAUGAACAUGUGGCUCUGAGCUCUGGGUGUAGUGCACUAGUGCUUAUGUUCCUAUUCCUUAUUUUCUGCAAAUAUACAUUCAUUGUAGAUUAGGAUUAGGUACCAGACCAUAGUCUCUAGGUGAACUUGUUCUCGUACCUGUAUUCUAUGGAUCAUCAGCCCGGAGAAGCUCAAGGAGUCCGCAGCAGUUCCUCCACGAAGUUAGUUGCUGCACGGGUUGGUUAAGGCGCAGUAGAGGCAUCUGAAAAAAGAAAACAUAGGCUAGUGUCUUAGUAAACAAACGAGAAUAGCUAGAGCUACAACAACUUAUUGUUGCGUAUAGAGAGAGAGAUUUGUUGUUUGCUUGUUUAGGGUUGAGUUAACCUGGUUCUCAUCUUUAGGUAGAUGAGCAGGUUCUUCCACAUGAGCUGAAACAGGUAAGGACCCGUCAAAGUAAUAACUGGAAAGGUCAGAGUCACUGGAUGAGUCAACACUAUCCUCUUUUGAAUCUGAUGAUGACCUGACUCCUUCAAGUAUUACAGAAAAAUCCAAAUCCUCUGCGCCUGGACCGGAGAUCUCGCUGGUAUCAGUCAUACUAUGAAACUCUACGUUUGUUUGUUCUGUUUUAGCAGGAGUGUCUUCAGGGAACUGUAGUACCAUCUCUUCAGAUUUGUUCGGAUAUGGAAAGUUGUUGGUCUUGGCUACCUUUGGUCUCAGGCUGCUACUACGUCUAAAAAGCUCUAGAACCUCCUCGUCUUCCAUUUCAUACUCACUGACAUCAUGAUCUUCAAAGUUAGCCGUCUGUGAGUUAGAUGGACCCGUGGAGCCUUCUUCUGUGAUCCUUUCAUCUUCCUUAACAUUCCUCGUCUCCUCAGUUGAGUUGCUUGCUUCUCCAAUGGUCUUCUCCUCGUCUUCACCUACUUUUUCCAUCUCUCUUCUGGUAUGCUUCAGCUCUCUCUCUCUUUCCUUCUUUGUUCUGUUUCUGCGUUCACAAACUCAAGCUAUCUAGAAGGUCGCUUCAUAUGUUUAGUUGCAACGUCAUCGUUCAAACAACGAAUGCAAAGUACCAAAUAUAUGAACCAAAGAAGAAAAUAAAGAAGAUAAAAAAAGUAAAAAAAUAUUGGGAAGUUUGAAGAGUAGGUGAGAGGACAAAAGGAAUGGUUGAUGGACUAAAGUAGCAGAUGUGCACACAGUUGUCUUGACUAGUUGGUUCGCUGUUGUCAUGACAGUUUUCAAAGAUAGCUACUCUUACAAACAGAACAUAAAAAAAUUCAUUUAGUCAAUAAAUUGAAUCAGUUUCACAUAUAUUGGUUUAGUUUCUGUCCAUAGUUUAUGAAAGACAGGAUGAGUCUUCCGUCCUCUUCCGGAACUCUGUGUUUCAAACGAACAAGUAUUUGUUUUUGAAUUUAGCAUACCAUACAGACUACAACAAACUCAUGGCUCUAGUCUAUCAUAAUGACACCUUGGGGGAAAUUUUGAUAGGCAUUCCUAGUGAUGGAAACGGGAGAGGAUCCAUGCUGAUUGUCUCAUCAGGAUAGACCAAGGACCAAUCAUAACUUGUCACAACAAAAUGCAAGAAAACGAGGAUGCUGACUUUUGCUAGCUGGUGACCUGCACAAAGCCUUGGUCCUCCUCCAAAUGGAAGAUAUGUAUAUGCUUGUACCGCCUUAUCAAACCUUGAAGGAUUAAAACUCAUUGGAUCUUCAAAAAUCUCAGGAUUGUAAUGAGUUCCAUAAGUUGUCCACAGUACCUGCACUCAAAAACAAAGUAUUACAUUAGUAUUUAUUUCUUGAUUUAAAAACUGAAAAGAUCUAUAUAUAGAGAUGAUGCUGCUUCACCUUCCAGCCUUUUGGGAUAGUGAAUCCUCCAUAGUUGAUAUCAACAACUGCUUUUCUGAAGGAACCAAAGAUUGGAGGUGAUAAUCUCAUUGUUUCACGAACAACUUGCCAGCUAUACUUCAUCUUCUUCACAUCUUCAACCGUGAGGUACUCUCCUUCCCCUUUGUUUGCUUUUAUUUGAACAUGUUCUGAGAUGAAAUCAAGAGAGUUGAGUAUGAUUUUUUUUUUUUUUUUUGCUGAAUUAUGUUUUGUUUGUUACCUUUAAGGAGAGUGUCAAGGCAAGUUGGAUGCUGAGCCAACAUCUUGAAAGUCAUGGCCAUGGCGUAAGAGGUUGUGUCAUGAGCUGCAAACACUAGCAAAACCAUAUUGUCUACAACCUCUUCUUCGGUUAUGUCUCCUUUGAUCAAUCCUUGUACUAGCCUUGAGAAUAGUGUUGUGUUUGGUCUCUCAGCUUCUUCUUCUUCUUGUUCCAUUUCUCUUCUCUUCUCUCUGACUUUCUCAACUAGCAAUGUCUCAAUCUCUAGCCUAGCUUUCUUCGCUCUAGCAAACCUAGAACAAGGAAACUCAACAGGCAAAGCGAAAACUCCUUCAAGAACCCUCUCAAAGAUCUCUAACAUCCCAAGCUCCACUUUGAUCCCAUACAAACACUCAAAGACCACAGUAAACGUUAGAGCUUUUGUGGAACGGUAGAGACUAAUCUCUUCCUUGCCUCGCCAUUGGGUUUCAAGAUGAGACCGGACAGUGUCACAUAGGUUAGGUAAUAAGGACUCUAACCCAUUGUAGCUAAGGCUAUUAGCUACAAUCCCUCUAAGGACUCUAUGCUUCUCGCCUUGCUUAGCCAUGAUGCAGUUCAUGCCCAUUAGCUGAACAGAAGAAGAAGGCCAUGAGCUCACCACUAAGCUAAACUCGUUAGAUAAUAUUAGCCUAUUGGCUUCAGCUCCAUUGACUACUAUUGUUGGUGAUCCCAUGAUUUUUGUCUUGAAGAGGUUGCCAUGUUUGAUGAUUCUUGGAUUCACGAAAUCUUCAAACACUCUGUUGUUUUUCUGAGCUUUGUAGAACUCCAUUGUUUCACCUAUCCAUGGAAGCCCCAUUUCUCCAGGGGGAAGCUUCUUCUUGGGCUGCUGCAGCUUCUUUGAUCUGAACUUGUGCUGUUUCUUGCGGAAGAAGAAAAGUGUGCUGGAGAUUGUUGCAGCUAUGCAUAGGAAGAUCCAUGAGAGAAGGAAGUUUGGUUCUAGAGCCAUUUUGUUUUUGUUUGGUUACUUAAUUAACCAAUUGUUAAUAAUCAAGUUUUGCAAAAACCUGGAUUAUGAGCUGAGUAUUUAUAAGUGGAGAUUUUUUUUUGUGAAUGUUAAGGUCAAACCAAGUGAUAUUAUUCUAGUUUUUUUCUUUGUUUUUAGACUUUUUAUUCUUCUUUGGGGGUGGCUCUGACACAUGAUUGAUCUUCAAGAUACAGUUCCUUAAGAGCUCAGGCUGCACUAUCUUUUUCAUUUUUAAUACAACAGACGGUGACACUAAACAUGUUAUGCAGCUGCAUAUACACAUGUAUUAAGGUGAUUAUGGAAUUAAAUAUGAAUAUAACUCAUGUUUCAUUACAUAAUAGAAAUCAUUAUUGAAGUAAUAGUUUUUUUUUGUAACUGAGGCUUUCAAAUUGAAGUAAUAGUUACCCUAUUGAAAUUGGUCUGGCUCAUUUUCUCUAUAGACUAAAGUAGUGAAUCUUCAAAGAAACUAGUAUUUCCAUAGCAUGUAGUAUGUUCUUUACAUUAAACAGAAAAUUUUGAUAAACAAAUCCAAUACUUUUCCUGAGAAAAAAAAAAAAAGAGAAAAUGUUUUAUAUACUGACAGUAUCAAAGAACGGCUAGUUGGUGGAAAAAGAAAAAUUAUUGCUAAAACAUUGCUAGAUUUAUUGGUCUAUGCCAUAUGGAAAUAAUGUAUCUUCGCAUCUCUAAAAAUUUAGCAAUUCAUCUUUGUAGAUCUACUAUAUAUGUGUAUUAUCUAUCUACAAAUAAUUUAGAUCUAAAUAUAUUAGUUAAAUUUACAAUACAACUAACAAAAUUAUUUCUUAACAACUAAACAACUAUAGGUUGACUUUUUAAUGUAUUUUCUUGUUUUUAUUGAAUUUUGGGUGAGACAGAAAGAGAGACAGUUGCAUGUGCUUGGGAGUUGGAAUAUGCUAUAACCAAGACUGUGAAUGAAUGUAUAACAUAUGAAUCUGAUCCGCAUAAUCUCCCUCUUAAAUAAUUUCAUAAUAUUUUAUAUUCAUGUGUUCAUAAUAAUAGCACAGUAUAGUUUAAACACACUUGCUGACGAAAUGUUCCAUUAGAUUUAUAGCAUUACUGGGAAAAUGAGAUUAUACGCGAAUCCCUAAAGAUCUGCUGUGGCCGGCUGCUUCUGUUAUGUCCAAGUUACGUUGCAAACUGCGCGGGUUAAUCGAAUUAUUCAUCACAUUUUAAGGUUUCUAGUACGUGCAUAAGAUUAGUUCUUUGUGUACACUUUAGGGAGUUUAUCACGCUCGAACGUUACAUUAUUCUCAAACUGAUAAACUGUAUGUACAUUAUUGGUUGAUUCUUGAAAUUUAAGCACUUAAUUUUUCUUGGCAUUGUUCAUGCAUCUAAGAUAAAAUUAUAUGUUUGAUAGGAGAAAGGAUAGUUUAGAAUAAGUAAAUAACGAAUAACUGGUUAGGAAGUCGCUUUUAAGAGAUUCCUUCUUAAUAUAUAGUGCAUGUAUGAGCAAUAUCAAAAGAAUUUAAAAGGGUUUCCUAACCUUGUAGCGGCACUAAGCAUAUAUGAUGCUACUUUACGUCGUCGGUUUGCAGAACAAAGUAAUUAACAUUAAAAAAAAAGAGUCUUAGUUGAAUUAUUCACAUUAGGCGAUUAUCUUAAGCUGUGAUUUGUCUUGUAAACCUAUUAUUAGAAGAGUAGGAGCCGCAAGAAAAGGUGAUGAUGAUGAUGGUUGACAUUGACAACAACAAUUAUACAACGUGAUGAUGGUCGACAAUCAUCAUCAACGGUAUUGUUAUAUCUAUGAUCAGUUAGCAAACCCUACUAAAAUUACAUAUUUAAUAAUUCAAAACGUUUUACUCGAAAAAUGCAAUUAUAACUUCUGCAUACAGUUAGGCACAAACAUAUUAUUUGCAUGUGUAUAUUAUAAGUAUAUAGACUUUGAUUCCUUGAAUGGUCGGGGAUUUAAUUUAGUACGUUUGGUUAGUUGGAUCGCUUUGAACGCUUCGAGUUAAACUGGUCUGUAUGUGUGUUGCUGCCCUAGUUUUUGGAGUGAUUCAGAUUGAACCGUUCUAACCAUUAGUGGAAAUCACCAAACUGUAUCCUAUCAAAGUUGAUUUUACCAUUUGCCAUUUCUGAUGGAUUACACCGCUUUAACAACAUCGACAUACGGGGAGAUGCUUGUUUCUCACAAUAACUCAGUUACCUUUCUAUUGCUUUGGCCUAUGAGUCAACUAAUGCAUACACAUUACAAGUCUGUAGUCUUCUAAGCCUAAUACAAUAAGAGAAGAAGAUAAGUAUGCGAAUAUAUUCUGUAUUUAUCCUAAUAAAGAAACAAAUCAUCUACCGUAUAAGACAUCUCUAAGUGUCAACGGACUUGAAAUGAUAUACCAACUAACAGACUUUCAAAUGUCACUUUUUGGCUCUUGCGUAUAUUUCUCAAAACCGGAAUAUUUAAUUAGUAUUGGAAAUGUAAAUGAUGAUUUUAUUUUAGUUUAUUUUCAAAGUUACACAUGUCAUACCGUAACAUCACAAUGGGAUAAUGUUUAUUCACGUGGUGUCUAGUGUCUAAGUGGGUGAAGGACGCUAAUCAUGAGUUUGUACUAAUUAACAAACCCGUAAUUCCCAUGGCCCUAAUCAAAAUAUGUCGGACGCGACAAUAUAUAUUGUGUCCGGGUCCUUAGUUAAGCCAUUUGCUUUGGGAACCUAGCUCCUAAAUUCAAUUUAAUCCUGAAAGAAGAGCAUUCAACCAAUAAAUUUUAAAAUAAAUAUAUGUAGUUAAUUAGAAAAGCAAUCACUAAUUUAAAUAUCAAAUGGCAUUAGCGGAAAAACAGUUUGUCGUUUGUUAAUCUAAAGUGAAUAGAAGAAAAAAACCAAUCGAUGUUGUAGAUGGGUUUGAACUGAAAUGGUGGAAAAGUGGUUGAGUAGAGUUUUAUGAGUUCACUACCAUAAUAAUAAGAAAAUAAUCCCAAAUGCAAACUCCAAAUAACUUCAAAUAUAAAAACAAGUCCUAACAAAUUAAUCAGAUCACAAUAGUAAAAGAAAAUGCAGAAGCCAGCGAACCUAUACAGUAAGAGAAGUGAAUUAUUUUGUGAAGCAUCAACAUAAAUGGUUAUAAUUCUCAGACCCACCUAAACCUACACAUUAUUACUACAAUUUUUAUCUUUCGUUUGAUCUUUUGUUUUUCAUAUUUUUCAGUCUCUAAUCAAUUUUUUUUCAUCUCCUCUUAUUUCUUCUUGUGGGUCCUCUUCUCCCUGACCAGUGACCUCUGUGCAUCUCCACGUUUUACUAAUAGCUUUGCUGUAUCUACUGUUACCACUCUUAUUAUUACUCAAACUUAAAUGUCACUUAAAUGCAAACUAUAUAUUUAGGUGAAAACCAAAUCAAAUAGCAAUAAAAAAACACUAAGCACACCAAUGAUUUAUGUCCUGUCCACAAGUCGAGAAGAGUCAAGUGACCUUAGCUUGUCUUCUCUUUUAACGUCAGGCGACUACUAAUUUAAGUAUCUCCUUAACUAAAUCUUAGAGAAGCACAAAGACAAAGGGUCUACGUUAAGUCUACCUAGAUUCUUGAUUAGAGGCUUGCCCUACAUUGUAAUCACUCAUAAGAGUGGAAACUUACUUGGGAUUAAUUAGGUUCACAUGAUACCAGAGCUAGCUUGCAUUUUCAGAUACAAAUGUGAAAGGUGUCAUGCAAUAAAACAUAAGCAAAUGUGCAAAAAAAAAAAAAAUAUAAGCAACGUACUGAGUUUAAUGAAAAAACGUAAACAGUAAUACGGAUAGCGAGAUAAAUCAUUCAUAUGGGAGACAGCUUCUCAUACGCGUCCAUGCCUUUGCAUGAAAAAUUAACUUUGACUCUUCUUUCUAGUAUUUUGUUUUCUUGUUUUAAUUGUGAUUCAGAAUUCCAAGUGUUAUUGCAAUCACUAGGGGUAAUAAAUGGGAUAGUAUAAAUGCACCUGCAACAUAUCAACUAACCACACACAACUCCACCUGUUUGUAUUUACUUCAAAAACAUUCAAAAACCCUUUGCUUCCCUCUAUUUAUAAAUCCUAGUUUCCGGUUUCAUUCUACCACACAACACCAUUUGCACAAACACUUCUGCUUUCUCUUUGUUUUAAAAAUGAGAGGGAUGAAGAAUCUUACCAUUUGGGCUGUCUUUGUUGCUUUACUCUCCCAGCAGCUGUUUGCUUCUGUUGCUUCCAUAAAGUUUGAGGAUAAGAAAACAUACUACUCUCCUCCGGACCCCAAUGCAGGAUCUCCUCCCUCUGGUAAGCAAAAAAAAAAAAAACACAUACACACAUGCACUCCCAACUUUGUAUGCAUUAAUAAGAAUCUUGAUUUUAGUAUUUUUACUUGACUGAUCAUUGUUAUUGUGUGACAUGCAGGAACUCCUCCAUCACACGGAGGAUACACUCCAACCCCUUCAACUCCAUCACAUACCCCUCCUUCUAACUGUGGAAGUCCACCUUACGACCCAAGUCCUCCAUCUCACACUCCAACUCCUUCUACUCCAUCUCACACUCCUUCAACUCCAUCUCACACUCCCUCAACUCCUUCUCAUACUCCAACUCCUUCGACUCCAUCUCACACACCAACUCCAUCACACACUAGUCCUCCUUGCCACUGUGGAACUCCACCUUCACACCCUUCCACACCUUCACGGCCUUCAAGGCCUUCACACCCAUCCAGGCCUUCACGCCCUUCCACGCCUUCAAAUCCUCCUUCUGGUGGAUACUACUCAUCUCCUCCACCAAGUACUCCUGUCGUUGUGACGCCACCAACACCCAUUGUUGACCCAGGCACACCCAGUACUGGAGGAACCCCUCCUUCUUCUGGUGGAUAUUACUCAUCUCCUCCACCAAGUACUCCAGUCGUUGAGACUCCACCAACACCUAUUGUUGACCCAGGCACACCCAUCGUUGGAGAAACCCCACCAACUCCUUCUUCUGGUGGAUAUUACUCAUCUCCUCCACCAAGUACUCCAGUCAUUGAGACUCCACCAACACCCAUUGUUGACCCAGGCACACCCAUCAUUGGAGGAACCCCACCAACUCCUUUCAUUGACCCUGGCACUCCUGGAACCCCCUUCCUUCCUGCUCCUUUUCCACCAAUCACUGGAACAUGCGAGUA